GAAGAACCAUUGUCGGUCCCCGGUUUUCAACUUAGAUUGCCCUGCACAUCACAAAGAAACGAGAUUAGAACAUAAGUUAAGGUUUAGCAUGGUUGUAAAAAUCCCAACAAGCCUCCGAUUAAUCACUAACUGAAGGUUCAGGCAGUCAAUAAUCGCCAGGUGGUCAAUGGUGGUCCUAUUCUAGCCAUAUCCACCAGUAACUUAAAAAUAUGGAAGAAAAGAGAUGAA
rnacentral:lncRNA from 1 species